rnacentral:sRNA from 1 species
CCCUUCUCUCAGUGUGCCCUAAGCCAAGUACUCGUUCUCAUUUGGGUGUCUGCACUGUUGGAAGCUACUGCACUGUGUUUCCACGCAGACAGAGUACAGUGGGAAAGGCUUUCUCCAGCUGAUGGAUGGCUGUUCUCUUUAUUUGGAGUAUCUUACUGGUUAUGUAAGCGACCUCGAGAGAAAUUAUCCUGACCCAGAUCGGAGGAUGCAGUAGUGCUUCAGCUGCAGGAUUUCUUAGUCGUUAACACCACAGUGCUGAUGACAAAGAGCGAGUUGUAAUCCUCAUCACUGCCAGGGCUGAGCCAGAGCAGACAGAAAAUCGUCAUUUGCUCGUUGGAGACUUGUUAGGUUACAGCUCCUGCUUCGUUCUGUGGUCUUGGCUUUUCUUCCUAUACAAUGACGCCGCUGCAAGUGAGCUCAGAAAUGCUUGGUUUGAGAGCCAUUUGCCUGUGAUUUUUGAAGACUAAAGAAGUAUUUACACUAGAUACUCUUCCAGAACAAAAUAGAAAUUUCAGCAAAUACUUACUGACCUUUAAAGCCUUGUGGAUUUCUGAGAUUUAAAGAUACUUUAAAAUUCUCAAGAACAAAACUUUCAAACCUCUGGUUGAAAGAAAUAUACCCAGUUCAGUCACUGCAGUAGAAUUCCUUGUAGAUAAGCAACUGGAUUUUUUAACUGAAGAUAGUGCCUUUCAGCCCUACCAGGUCCUUAUUCCUUAAAUGGAUACAGAGUGAGAGUAUAUAGACAAGACUCUGCCACCCAGUGGUUUACUGGCAUAAUUACUCAUCAUGAUCUCUUCACCCGCACCAUGAUCGUUAUGAAUGAUCAGGUGAAAAUAUUGGCAUUACAUCACGACGCAGGUCUCGUGCCAAUCAAAACGUCAACGCUGUUCACAGCCAUUAUACACGUGCC